rnacentral:lncRNA from 1 species
GUUUUUAAAAGGAGUAGUAGUACUGUUUUUGAAACUCAAAAUACAGUAGAUGUGGAAUUAAUAAAAUCGAUCACUCAAUUGGUCUAUGACAAUGAAUAUAACUAAUACAUGCUAGAUGAAUCUCCCUUUUUUUCAAUGAAUAUGAAAUCAACAUCAACAGUCGAAGGAAAUCAUUAUACAAACUUGCAACUCAUGUGACUCUUCCUUUCUCUAAUCGAAAAUCAUGUCUACAUUUAUUCAUAUAUGAUGUUUGCUUCCGUA